CACGGGGGGAGCAAGCGUUGUCCGGAAUUACUGGGCGUAAGAGCUCGUAGGUGGUUUGUCGCGUUGUCCGUGAAAACUCACAGCUUAACUGUGGGCGUGCGGGCGAUACGGGCAGACUGGAGUACUGCAGGGGAGACUGGAAUUCCUGGUGUAGCGGUGGAAUGCGCAGAUAUCAGGAGGAACACCGGUGGCGAAGGCGGGUCUCUGGGCAGUAACUGACGCUGAGGAGCGAAAGCGUGGGGAGCGAACAGG
rnacentral:rRNA from 1 species